rnacentral:lncRNA from 1 species
CCGGUCUGUUGAGCUUGAAUAUUAUGAAGUCAUCAUCGUGACACUUCUUCCACAAAUAAAUUAGAGUAAAAAGAAAAUUAGAAAACGUGUAAAAUUAAAAGAAAAAAAAAAGAAAUAAAAGAAAUUGCUUAAUCAAGUAAGAGCAGAUCAAGCUAUCAAACAUUAACUUAUACGUAAAUACCAUUGAUCACAUUUUGUAUUCCAUGCGAAAUUGGUUUUUAUGAAAAUGUUUCAUGUAAAACUGAACAAUGAAACUACAAAUCCUUGAUUUAUAUUAUAACUACAUAGUAAAAACUCAUAUCAAAACAUUAAAACUACAACUUGACAAAAGAUAAUUAACUAUUAGCGAUUAUUAAGGAAAAGCAAUUAAAAUUCAAUUAGUGGUAACUCACAACAAAUCUAUAGAAGGAUUUCCAGAUCACAAAUCCAUACCACAGAAAAUGCAAUCAUGAACCAGGAAUUUCAGAGAAGGUACAUGUUAAAGCUAAGCAAAAGCACUCAAAGAAAACAUUUUCAUAGGAAGCGAUUGAACUUCGAAAGGUAUGACACAAGCCACCAUAUCAUCAUCAGAACGAUAAUCAAUUUCAUUCACAACCAUAACUAGUUGUGUCCAAAGGUGUCCUAAGAUUGAUCUGUGUCAUCAUUUGACUUAUGGCAACCAAUAAACUAAGAAAAAUGUUGCAAAAAAAAAAAAAAAAAAAAUAUGUGCCACAAAUUAAAAACCAAAAGUAAAACUUGAAUUAAUAAACAGUAUGUGAUUCAGUUGCAACAUAAACAUAAUCACUAUUAUAAAAUCAGUCCAAGUGUUGGAAUUAAAAUAAUUGCUUCAUCAUCAUCACCAUUAGAACAAAAUAUAAAACGGCAGUUUCAUAAAUAGAAAAACAAGAAUAAAAGGUCAUUCAUCACCGAAAUCAGAAGAGGGAGCUUAGAUAUCCUCAUUAUGAUUUCAAUUUAAAAAACCACUAAAUAAGUUAGAAAAAUAAAUCAAAAGAAAAAAGAGUCACUCAGUUCAGCGGGGUAAUCGACACGCAAGCAAACUCUAAAAAUAGAGAAGCCUGCAAUCCGGUCUGUUGAGCUUGAAUAUUAUGGAGUCGUCACCGUGACCUUUUUUCCAUCAAAAAUCAAUUAGGGCAAGAAAAUGAAGAAAAAUUAAAAAGUAGAUCUGGGGGAGGAAUGAAAAUGCUCAGUGGUGGCUAGUUGUUAUUGGUUCGAUUCUGCCAGCAAGUUUCCUCAAUGUUACUCAGAAGAGGGAGCUUGGAAUCCUCAUUGCAAAAUCCACCUCCCCAAAAAUUGUUUACAAAAUCUAACAAAGAGAUUUAAAAAGCAUAUAUUAAAGAUGUAAAGAAGAGAUGGCUCAGGGAAGAAGGAGAUCGACAUGCAAAGACAGAAGCCCCUGACAAUCCGGUCUGUUUAGCUUGAUCUUUCAGAGUCCGCAUAGCCACUCUUCCUUCUACAUCAACUAAAAGUAUAAAUCAGAAAAUGCAAUAAAGAAAGGAAAAGGAAGAGGAGUUUGUUGCUGCUUUACUGUGUGAAUGGUGUGGGGGCGGUGACUAUUAAUUUAUAGAGGUACAACUAGGGUUUGUAGAUUUUUUUAAGAUGGAGAAGC